rnacentral:tRNA from 1 species
UCCCAGGUGGCUCGGUGAUAAAGAAUCUGUCUGCAAUGCAGAAGACUCUGGUUCGAUCCCUGGGUUGGGAA